rnacentral:pre_miRNA from 1 species
AAUGUAUGACGCGGUUGACUUUUUGAUAAACGUUUGACCUUUCGUCUUAUUUAAAAAAUUUAUGUAAUUAUAAUUUAUUUUAUGGUGACUUGAUUUAUCAUCAAAUGUUCUUUAAGCAUGACAUAAGUAUUUUUAUAUUUAUAUAAAAUUUUUGAAUAAGACGAGUGGUCAAACGUUGAUCAAAAAGUAAACGGCUUCAUACAUU